rnacentral:rRNA from 1 species
CAACGCUGGCGGCGUGCCUAACACAUGCAAGUCGAACGGGAAAGUGGAGCAAUCCAUGAGUAUAGUGGCGACCGGGUGAGUAACACGUGACUACCUGCCCUUGAGUGGGGGAGUAACCUCGGGAAACCGAGGCUAAUACCGCAUAAUAUCGAAAGAUCAAAGGAGCAAUCCGCUUUUGAGGGGGUCGCGGCUGAUUAGCUAGUUGGUAGGGUAAUGGCCUACCAAGGCGAAGAUCGGUAUCCGGCCUGAGAGGGCGCACGGACACACUGGAACUGAAACACGGUCCAGACUCCUACGGGAGGCAGCAGUGGGGAAUUUUGCGCAAUGGGGGGAAAAACCCCCUGACGCAGCAACGCCGCGUGGAGGAUGAAGCCCCUUGGGGUGUAAACUCCUUUCGACCGGGACGAUAAUGACGGUACCGGUGGAAGAAGCACCGGCUAACUCUGUGCCAGCCGCCGC